rnacentral:rRNA from 1 species
AGCGGUAGCACAGGGGAGCUUGCUCCCUGGGUGACGAGCGGCGGACGGGUGAGUAAUGUCUGGGAAACUGCCUGAUGGAGGGGGAUAACUACUGGAAACGGUAGCUAAUACCGCAUAACGUCGCAAGACCAAAGAGGGGGACCUUCGGGCCUCUUGCCAUCAGAUGUGCCCAGAUGGGAUUAGCUAGUAGGUGGGGUAAUGGCUCACCUAGGCGACGAUCCCUAGCUGGUCUGAGAGGAUGACCAGCCACACUGGAACUGAGACACGGUCCAGACUCCUACGGGAGGCAGCAGUGGGGAAUAUUGCACAAUGGGCGCAAGCCUGAUGCAGCCAUGCCGCGUGUGUGAAGAAGGCCUUCGGGUUGUAAAGCACUUUCAGCGAGGAGGAAGGUGGUGAGCUUAAUACGCUCAUCAAUUGACGUUACUCGCAGAAGAAGCACCGGCUAACUCCGUGCCAGCAGCCGCGGUGAUACGGAGGGUGCAAGCGUUAAUCGGAAUUACUGGGCGUAAAGCGCACGCAGGCGGUUUGUUAAGUCAGAUGUGAAAUCCCCGGGCUCAACCUGGGAACUGCAUUUGAAACUGGCAAGCUAGAGUCUCGUAGAGGGGGGUAGAAUUCCAGGUGUAGCGGUGAAAUGCGUAGAGAUCUGGAGGAAUACCGGUGGCGAAGGCGGCCCCCUGGACGAAGACUGACGCUCAGGUGCGAGAGCGUGGGGAGCAAACAGGAUUAGAUACCCUGGUAGUCCACGCUGUAAACGAUGUCGAUUUGGAGGUUGUGCCCUUGAGGCGUGGCUUCCGGAGCUAACGCGUUAAAUCGACCGCCUGGGGAGUACGGCCGCAAGGUUAAAACUCAAAUGAAUUGACGGGGGCCCGCACAAGCGGUG